rnacentral:rRNA from 1 species
GCAUCGGAAACUGGGAGACUUGAGUGCAGAAGAGGACAGUGGAACUCCAUGUGUAGCGGUGGAAUGCGUAGAUAUAUGGAAGAACACCAGUGGCGAAGGCGGCUGUCUAGUCCGUAACUGACGCUGAGGCUCGAAAGCAUGGGUAGCGAACAGGAUUAGAUACCCUGGUAGUCCAUGCCGUAAACGAUGAGUGCUAAGUGUUGGAGGGUUUCCCCCUUCAGUGCUGCAGCUAACGCAUUAAGCACUCCGCCUGGGGAGUACGACCGCAAGGUUGAAACUCAAAGGAAUUGACGGGGGCCCGCACAAGCGGUGGAGCAUGUGGUUUAAUUCGAAGCUACGCGAAGAACCUUACCAGGUCUUGACAUCUUCUGCCAAUCUUAGAGAUAAGACGUUCCCUUCGGGGACAGAAUGACAGGUGGUGCAUGGUUGUCGUCAGCUCGUGUCGUGAGAUGUUGGGUUAAGUCCCGCAACGAGCGCAACCCUUAUUAUCAGUUGCCAGCAUUCAGUUGGGCACUCUGGUGAGACUGCCGGUGACAAACCGGAGGAAGGUGGGGAUGACGUCAAAUCAUCAUGCCCCUUAUGACCUGGGCUACACACGUGCUACAAUGGACGGUACAACGAGUCGCGAAGUCGUGAGGCUAAGCUAAUCUCUUAAAGCCGUUCUCAGUUCGGAUUGUAGGCUGCAACUCGCCUACAUGAAGUUGGAAUCGCUAGUAAUCGCGGAUCAGCAUGCCGCGGUGAAUACGUUCCCGGGCCUUGUACACACCGCCCGUCACACCAUGAGAGUUUGUAACACCCAAAGCCGGUGAGAUAACCUUCGGGAGUCAGCCGUCUAAGGUGGGACAGAUGAUUAGGGUGAAGUCGUAACAAGGUAAC